rnacentral:rRNA from 1 species
AACGAACGCUGGCGGCAGGCCUAACACAUGCAAGUCGAGCGAGGACUUCGGUCCUAGCGGCGGACGGGUGAGUAACGCGUGGGAACGUGCCCUUUGCUUCGGAAUAGCCCUGGGAAACUGGGAGUAAUACCGGAUGAGCCCUUUGGGGAAAAGAUUUAUCGGCGAAGGAUCGGCCCGCGUUGGAUUAGGUAGUUGGUGGGGUAAUGGCCUACCAAGCCGACGAUCCAUAGCUGGUUUGAGAGGAUGAUCAGCCACACUGGGACUGAGACACGGCCCAGACUCCUACGGGAAGCAGCAGUGGGGAAUCUUAGACAAUGGGGGAAACCCUGAUCUAGCCAUGCCGCGUGAGCGAUGAAGGCCUUAGGGUUGUAAAGCUCUUUCAGCUGGGAAGAUAAUGACGGUACCAGCAGAAGAAGCCCCGGCUAACUCCGUG